GGUGAACGCUGGCGGCGUGCCUAAUACAUGCAAGUCGAGCGAACAGACGAGGAGCUUGCUCCUCUGACGUUAGCGGCGGACGGGUGAGUAACACGUGGAUAACCUACCUAUAAGACUGGGAUAACUUCGGGAAACCGGAGCUAAUACCGGAUAACAUGAUGAACCGCAUGGUUCAACAGUGAAAGACGGUCUUGCUGUCACUUAUAGAUGGAUCCGCGCCGCAUUAGCUAGGUGGUAAGGUAACGGCUUACCAAGGCAACGAUGCGUAGCCGACCUGAGAGGAUGGACAGAGAAACAGGAAAUGAGACACGGUGAAGAGUGCGACGGGAGGCAGCAGUGGGGAAUAUUGGACAAUGGGCGCAAGCCUGAUCCAGCCAUACCGCGUGAGGGAAGAAGGCCUUCGGGUUGUAAAGCCCUUUUGUUAGGAAAGAAGAACAGCGGGUGAAUACCCCGCUGUUAUAAGGGGAGCCAAAGAAUAGGCACCGGCUGACUUCGUG
rnacentral:rRNA from 1 species